ACCUGGCUGGCUUAGUUGGUAGAGCAUGAGACUUUUGAUCUCAGGGUUGUAGUUUUGAGCCCCACACUAGGUG
rnacentral:tRNA from 1 species